AUACGUAGGGUGCAAGCGUUAAUCGGAAUUACUGGGCGUAAAGGGUGCGCAGGCGGCCUGGCAAGAAAGGUGUGAAAUCCCAGGGCUUAACCUUGGAAUGGCACUUUUAACUGCCAAGCUAGAGUAUGUCAGAGGGGGGUAGAAUUCCACGUGUAGCAGUGAAAUGCGUAGAGAUGUGGAGGAAUACCGAUGGCGAAGGCAGCCCCCUGGGAUAAUACUGACGCUCAGGCACGAAAGCGUGGGGAGCAAACAGGAUUAGAUACCCUGGUAGUCCACGCCCUAAACGAUGUCAACUAGCUGUUGGGGCCUUCGGGCCUUAGUAGCGCAGCUAACGCGUGAAGUUGACCGCCUGGGGAGUACGGUCGCGAGAUUAAA
rnacentral:rRNA from 1 species